CAAUAGCGUAUAUUAAAGUUGUUGCAGUUAAAAAGCUCGUAGUUGGACCUUGGACCUGGACAGGCGGUCCGCCUCACGGCGAGUACUGUCUUGCUGGGUCUUUCCUCUUGGUGAUCUGUUGUUUCGGCAGCAGGGAACCAGGACCUUUACUUUGAAAAAAUUAGAGUGUUCAAAGCAGGCUCGACGCCGGAAUAUAUUAGCAUGGAAUAAUAAAAUAGGACGUGCGGUUCUAUUUUGUUGGUUUUUGGAAUCGCCGUAAUGAUUAAUAGGGACAGUCGGGGGCAUUAGUACUCACAUGCUAGAGGUGAAAUUCUUGGAUUUUGUGAAGACUAACUUCUGCGAAGGCAUUUGCCAAGGAUGUUUUCAUUAA
rnacentral:rRNA from 1 species